AGCCUCUCAUGUUCUCAGUUCUAAGUAUGCUUGGGGGUAAACCCUAAUCCAGCAGUUGGAACAAUGACCCACAAGUCAAAACCUUCAAGUCCAAAACUCAACUCGUAAUCUUUGUAUUUGGUACAAAGUGGGAUUGGGGUGAGGCCAAAUCCAGAAUGCUGUUGCUGAGUGCUGAGUGCUGAAAGGGUUGAAUGGGUCACACAAUUUACAGACAAGCUACAUGGAGAUAUUUCAUCUUUUUUCAUCAUCUGGCCAUGUGAUGGGCUUGACCCACACUGGAAAUAGACAUGUUGGAGAUUGAUCAUGCUGUGGAGAGGUAUUACCAUUGAAGGCAAAAGCUACUGAAUUCAAAUCACAAUGUACCCCC
rnacentral:lncRNA from 1 species